ACAAAACAAACUAACCAUUUGUGGCAAAUAAUACAUUUUUGAGAAAAUCAACAUUUUCUUUGACUGGACUGAUUUCUAAAUGAAAAGGCAAGUAGCUAACUUGUUGACUAACUAGAUGUUGGUCUGGAAAAUUAUUAGCCGUGACCAAACCGUACAUUUUAAAAUCUAUUCAUAGUGCUGAUGCUGAAGCCCCCUGGGAGUGGUUUUGGUAAAUUGAAAAAUGUUUCAGACCACAAAGCUAUAUUCCAGGAAGCAAGUGAUAGGGCUACCCACAUAAUGGUUACUAUGACAACACUCAUCUCUUGCCAUCCCACAUCAAGGUAGAAGGUCCCCAUGGCCUCCACUGAGAACAUGUGGGCAGGACUUCCAAUUCACUGAUUCACAAAGAUAAACCCGCUUCUUGCGAACAGAACACAAAGACCACCAUUCGGUCAUCUCCUCGACCCCUUUUCCAUAAAUAAACAGGUGGGUUUUAGAUGGUUUGACUAUUAGUCAAAAAAAUAUAUUUAGUCGUAGUUCACACAUAAGGUCCCUAUGGUGUUUGUGGCCCCCUAUGGGCUCUGUAGAGGUACUAACGGGGGUCCAAUAACACCUAUUUCACCUGAUUUUGGCAGAAAAAGAAAGCGAAUUAAACAAAAAUCAAAUUAAUGCAAUUUGAACCAAAUGUACAUGCUUCAUUAUUUCAUGCAACAUUCAAAUGCAGUAUUGAAAUUGUAAAUAUUCCAGUGUACAGCUCAUCAACGAAGAUCAUUUUAAAGACACAGCGCCUGCAGCAAUCUCACCAUCUAUUUACAGUGAAAUACAGGGCGCUGUAUUGUGGCAAGUCAUAUGGCUGUUCUCAGGUAAAUGCCGUAUAAUGCAAACCACAAGCUAGUGUGUGUGUUCUUCAGAAAUAACACCCUUGUGAUGCAUCUUUCAGCAGAAAGCAUGAGACACUAUCAGCACAGGCUCCAGGAACGAGACCUCUAGAGAAAAUGCCAAUGAGUCUCUCAUGAGACUCUCUGCAUGCAUCCAUUUAUGGUCGCUUUUAAUAAGCUUGGCAUCAACCUGUUUCUACCGUCCAGAACACCACACUGAAGAUAAAGUUGCAUGCGCAUUCAAUCCACUUCGACAUGUUCACUCUUACAAAAACGGCACUAGUGAUGUGGUCGAACCUUGUAUCCCCCCACAUUUGCACAAAUAAUAAUAACAAUCAAAUAGAAGAAGAAAAUAAUAUUAAUAAUAAAGAAAGAAAAGAAAUAAUUGGGAAUGAAUGAAUAAAUAAGAAAGUGAACAAAUGAAAGGGGAGGCACUGGAAAAGAACCAACAUAUGAAAUGCAUAUAUAGAUAUUAAUAUAUUCAGGGGUAGUAUUAUAAUAGUAAAAAUAAAAUCUAUAAUAAUAAAACUAUACAUUAUGUCAAUAGAAUACAUCAGUACAAGUAGACAUGCCUAAACAUAUACGCAUACAUGAGUACAUAUAGAAAUGCAUAAACACGUACACAUAGAUACAAAUUAUUUCUAUAUCUGCUCCUAGGUUUAUAUGUUAAUCAUCUUUUCUAACUAUAUGUUUGUCAAGUUUUUGUUGGGAGAGUGCGUAGGUCGGGUGCCAGGAUUCUGGUGUAUAUCGAAAUAAGUCAGAAAUUGAUUCCAGAUGUCCUUAAAUAUAUUUUUCUUAUUUGUGUAUGUUAUUUUUUUUUCUAAUGAAUAUGUAUUCUAUAAAAAGGUUAGUCCAGUGGUUGAUGUGUAUCCUUUUUUUUUUUGUAUUUCCAGUUUAGACCAGUUCCAGAUAGUAAAGAAAGAUGAAGAGGGUAUUUUUAUAUUUAAUCAGAUGAUUAUCAACUUCUGUGGUUUUACCCAGUAAACAGAGUGAUGGAGACGGAGGAAUACUACAGCCCAUAAUGAUAGAAAGUUGAACGGUCGCUGAUAUCCAAAAGGAAUGAACAGGUUGGCAAGUCCAUGUGGCAUGCAAAUAGUCAUCGGUGCUACCCAGUGUGCAAAGUGAGCAAAUAUCUGUCGCUUAGACCCAUUUAAAAAAUAAAUCCUUUGAGUGAUGUGAGUCCUGUGAAGUAUCUUGUACUGUAUUAGUUGUAGGUUUGUAUUGCUAGUCACAGAAAAUAUAUUACCACAGACUUCUUUCCAGAAGCCGGUUUUCCCAUUUAGCCAUUGGUAAAAUUAUAGUUGUAUUAGUAUAGAAAUCAAAUUCUUUUCUCAGUAUCACACAGAUCUAUCACUGAUGUUUGGAUAAGCACUUUCCAUAUUACGGGUGUGUUUAGCAUGUAUGAAAAAUUGACUAAGAGAAAUAACAUCUGAAUAAGCAGCCCACAGUAAGUAGGAAAAUGACCUCAAAAAUAUAAUUUUUAUAUUUCCAAUCUCCCCUCCCACAGGAAUGCGGCUUUUUCAUCACAGUAAUAAUAUAUGCACGUGUUAGUUACAAAACUGCUAAUAUAUAGUUCGUUUUUAAUAGAAAAAAAAGGUUUUAACCAAUCACAAGAAGCAGAACUGGACUCAGCCAGAGUUCCCCUUAAUCAUCAAGAGACCCAAACACUGAGAAACCCACCUAUUCUAGGAAACGAUGACUAUCGGGAAUUAAAUAGACUUGUUGAUAUUUCACAAGAACAGGAAACUUGCAGAUGUAUUUUGAUCUACAAAUAAACCAUGUGUGAGGAAAGAUUUUAAAGCAGAACAACGCUUUAUGAGAUGACACUUCACUAUAAAUGGUAAAAAAAAAAAAAAAAAAAAA